rnacentral:sRNA from 1 species
UGGCAUUGAAUUUCCAAUAGGCUGAUUA